AGCGAACGCUGGCGGCAGGCCUAACACAUGCAAGUCGAACGCUGUAGCAAUACAGAGUGGCAGACGGGUGAGUAACGCGUGGGAACCUUCCCAAUGGUACGGAAUAGCCCAGGGAAACUUGGGGUAGUACCGUAUACGCCCCUAGGGGGAAAGAUUUAUCGCCAUUGGAUGGGCCCGCGUCGGAUUAGCUAGUUGGUGAGGUAAUGGCUCACCAAGGCAACGAUCCGUAGCUGGUUUGAGAGAAUGACCAGCCACACUGGGACUGAGACACGGCCCAGACUCCUACGGGAGGCAGCAGUGGGGAAUCUUGGACAAUGGGCGCAAGCCUGAUCCAGCCAUGCCGCGUGAGUGACGAAGGCCUUAGGGUUGUAAAGCUCUUUUGCCGGGGACGAUAAUGACGGUACCCGGAGAAUAAGUCCCGGCUAACUUCGUGCCAGCCGCCGCAGUAA
rnacentral:rRNA from 1 species